UACGAAGGGGGCUAGCGUUGCUCGGAAUUACUGGGCGUAAAGCGCGUGUAGGCGGGUCUUUAAGUCAGGGGUGAAAUGCCAGGGCUCAACCUUGGAACUGCCUUUGAUACUGAAGAUCUUGAGUCCGGGAGAGGUGAGUGGAACUGCGAGUGUAGAGGUGAAAUUCGUAGAUAUUCGCAAGAACACCAGUGGCGAAGGCGGCUCACUGGCCCGGUACUGACGCUGAGGCACGAAAGCGUGGGGAGCAA
rnacentral:rRNA from 1 species